UUUGUGGAGAGUUUGAUCCUGGCUCAGGACGAACGCUGGCGGCGUGCUUAACACAUGCAAGUCGAACGGAAAGGCCCCAGCUUGCUGGGGUACUCGAGUGGCGAACGGGUGAGUAACACGUGGGUGAUCUGCCUUGCACUCUGGGAUAAGCUUGGGAAACUGGGUCUAAUACCGGAUAUGAACUGCCUUUAGUGUGGUGGUUGGAAAGUUUUUUC
rnacentral:rRNA from 1 species